UAUGAGAGCACCUCUCUUGCCUGUUCA
rnacentral:piRNA from 1 species